AGCCUGAACGCUGGCGGCGUGGCUAAGACAUGCAAGUCGUACGGUGUAGCAAUACACAGUGGCGAACGGGUGAGUAAUGUAUCGCUAACGUGCCCCGGACUUUGGGAUAGCUACCCGAAAGGGUAGGUAAUACCAGAUGAUAUAACUUUGCCGCAUGGCAAGGUUCUCAAAGGUCCGCCGGUCUGGGAGCGGGCGAUAUCGUAUCAGCUAGUUGGUGAGGUAACGGCUUACCAAGGCGACGACGCGUAGCCGGACUGAGAGGUUGGCCGGCCACAUUGGGACUGAGACACUGCCCAGACUCCUACGGGGGGCUGCAGUAACGAAUCUUCCGCAAUGCACGAAAGUGUGACGGAGCGACGCCGCGGUGUGGGACGAAGUUCUUCGGAAUGUAAACCACUGUCAGGGGUUAGAAAGUUCUGAUCAACCCCAGAGGAAGGCACGGCUAACUCUGCGCCAGCAGCCGC
rnacentral:rRNA from 1 species